GACGUAGGGCGCGAGCGUUGUCCGGAUUUAUUGGGCGUAAAGAGCUCGUAGGCGGCUUGUCGCGUCGUCCGUGAAAACCAGGGGCUCAACCCCUGGCUUGCGGUCGAUACGGGCAGGCUAGAGUUCGGUAGGGGAGACUGGAAUUCCUGGUGUAGCGGUGGAAUGCGCAGAUAUCAGGAGGAACACCGGUGGCGAAGGCGGGUCUCUGGGCAGUAACUGACGCUGAGGAGCGAAAGCGUGGGGAGCGAACAGG
rnacentral:rRNA from 1 species